GCGCCACGUUCGUUCUUCUGAGGGGACGGUAGAUUUGGGGGUUUUCCUCUAGGAUUCUCGCGCCGUUUCCUCUGGUAGGAACGUCUUCUGUGU